GACGUAGGGCGCGAGCGUUGUCCGGAUUUAUUGGGCGUAAAGGGCUCGUAGGCGGUUUGUCGCGUCGGGAGUGAAAUCCACUGGCUUAACUGGUGGCUUGCUUUCGAUACGGGCAGACUGGAGGUAUGCAGGGGGAGAACGGAAUUCCUGGUGUAGCGGUGAAAUGCGCAGAUAUCAGGAGGAACACCGGUGGCGAAGGCGGUUCUCUGGGCAUUACCUGACGCUGAGGAGCGAAAGUGUGGGGAGCGAACAGG
rnacentral:rRNA from 1 species